rnacentral:rRNA from 1 species
GUGGGGAAUCUUGCGCAAUGGGCGAAAGCCUGACGCAGCCAUGCCGCGUGAAUGAUGAAGGUCUUAGGAUUGUAAAAUUCUUUCACCGGGGACGAUAAUGACGGUACCCGGAGAAGAAGCUCCGGCUAACUUCGUGUCAGCAGCCGCGGUAAUACGAAGGGGGCUAGCGUUGCUCGGAAUUACUGGGCGUAAAGGGCGCGUAGGCGGACAGCUUAGUCAGAGGUGAAAGCCCAGGGCUCAACCUUGGAAUUGCCUUUGAUACUGGCUGUCUUGAGUUUGGGAGAGGUGAGUGGAACUCCGAGUGUAGAGGUGAAAUUCGUAGAUAUUCGGAAGAACACCAGUGGCGAAGGCGACUCACUGGCCCAAUACUGACGCUGAGGCGCGAAAGCGUGGGGAGCAAACAGGAUUAGAAACCCGAGUAGUCC